GCCAGGCGUGGUGGUGUAUGCCUGUAAUCCCAACUACCCAGGAGGCUGAGGCAGGAGAAUUGCUUGAACCCAGGAGUUGGAGAUUGCAGUGAGCCGAGAUCCUGCCACUGCAUUCUAGCCUGGGCAACAGAGCAAGACUCUGUCUCAA
ensembl:misc_RNA Metazoa_SRP Metazoan signal recognition particle RNA